AUGUUAGCAAAACAAGCAUGGAGGUUAAUCACAAACCCCAAUACUUUGUGUGCGAGAGUACUGAAAGCUAAGUACUUUUCCAAUGGAGAUUUAUUGUCAGCAGGUCCAAAAAAGGGUUCCUCCUUUACUUGGCAGAGUAUUGUUGCAGGGAUACAGACUUUUAAAAGAGGUCAUAUUUGGAGAGUCGGCACUGGGGAAAACAUUAAAAUAUGGGAGGAUCAUUGGAUCCCCUCAAGUCCAUUGAGGAAAGUCAUAACACCAAGGAAUAAUAUUGUUCUAAGUACUGUUGAUCAACUUAUCAACCCUAUCACCGGCAGAUGGGAUGAGGAGUUGAUUUUGGAUAUUUUCAGUCCGGUCGACUCAGUAAGAAUCUUGCAAAUCCCUGUUAUAUCUGGUACAGUUGAUGAUUUUGUAGUUUGGCAGAUGACAAGAAAUGGAGCUUUCUCAGUUCGGUCUGCGUAUUAUACUGAAUGGAACCAUCAAUUUAGCGACAAGAUAUGUAGGCUGGAUGAUCAGAGUGGAUCAAGUCUGAACCCUGUUUGGGAGGUGGUGUGGAAAUUGCAAAUUCCUAGCAAAGUAAAAAAAAAAUCUUGGCACGCACUUCAUGGGACGAUUCCAGGGCUGGCCGUUCUUGCAAAUCACCACAUAAAAACCACAAGUCAAUGUCCUAUCUGUCAGUGGGGUGCGGAAGAUAUUCAACAUCUAAUGUUCACUUGCAAACGUGCAAAGGAAGUGUGGAAAUCACUCGGUUUAUUUGAAAUGAUAAUUUCAACGGUG
rnacentral:rRNA from 1 species